rnacentral:rRNA from 1 species
UAGAUACCCUGGUAGUCCACACUGUAAACGAUGAUUACUAGGUGUUGGAGGAUUGACCCCUUCAGUGCCGCAGUUAACACAAUAAGUAAUCCACCUGGGGAGUACGACCGCAAGGUUGAAACUCAAAGGAAUUGACGGGGGCCCGCACAAGCAGUGGAGUAUGUGGUUUAAUUCGACGCAACGCGAAGAACCUUACCAAGUCUUGACAUCCUGCGACGCACAUAGAAAUAUGUGUUUCCUUCGGGACGCA